rnacentral:rRNA from 1 species
AGCGAAAACUUACCUGGGUUAAAUCCCAGUUGUAAAGUGCAGAGAUGCACUCCCCUCGCAAGAGGCGGCUGGGAAGGUGCUGCAUGGCUGUCGUCAGCUCGUGUCGUGAGAUGUUGGGUUAAGUCCCGCGACGAGCGCAACCCUUACCACUAGUUGCCAGCAUUUAGUUGGGCACUCUAGCGGAACUGCCGGUGAUAAACCGGAGGAAGGUGGGGAUGACGUCAAGUCAUCAUGGCCUCUAUGUCCAGGGCUACACACGUGCUACAAUGGCCGGUACAAACCUGCUGCGAACUCGCGAGAGGGAGCCAAUCGGAAAAAGCCGGUCUCAGUUCGGAUUGGAGUCUGCAACUCGACUCCAUGAAGUUGGAAUCGCUAGUAAUCGCGGAUCAGCACGCCGCGGUGAAUACGUUCCCGGGUCUUGUACACACCG